AGAGUUUGAUUCUGGCUCAGAACGAACGCUGGCGGCGUGGAUAAGACAUGCAAGUCGAACGGGAUCAUUGGAGUAGCAAUACAACGAUGGUCUAGUGGCGAACGGGUGCGUAACACGUGGAUACAUUCCGGGAAGCGGGGGAUAGCCCAGGGAAACUUGGAUUAAUACCGCAUGUGAUCGAGAGAUCAAAGACGGGGACCGCAAGGCCUGUCACUUCCCGAUUGGUCCGCGGCCUAUCAGCUAGUUGGCGGGGUAAAGGCCCACCAAGGCUACGACGGGUAGCUGGUCUUAGAGGACGACCAGCCACACUGGAACUGAGACACGGUCCAGACACCUACGGGUGGCAGCAGUCGAGAAUCUUUCACAAUGGGGGCAACCCUGAUGGAGCGACGCCGCGUGGAGGAUAAGGUCUUCGGAUUGUAAACUCCUGUCAUGUGAGAACAAGGCUGCAGGGUUAAUACCUUUGCAGAUUGAUGGUAUCACAAGAGGAAGAGACGGCUAACUCUGUGCCAGCAGCCGCGGUAAUACAGAGGUCUCAAGCGUUGUUCGGAAUCACUGGGCGUAAAGGGUGCGUAGGUGGCGUGGUAAGUCAGAUGUGAAAGCCCGGGGCUCAACCUCGGAACAGCAUCCGAUACUGCCGUGCUAGAGUACUGAAGAGGUGACUAGAAUUCUCGGUGUAGCAGUGAAAUGCGUAGAUAUCGAGAGGAAUACCAAAGGCGAAGGCAGGUCACUGGGCAGUUACUGACACUGAGGCACGAAGGCCAGGGGAGCAAACGGGAUUAGAUACCCCGGUAGUCCUGGCAGUAAACGGUGCACGUUUGGUGUGGGCGCAAUCGACCGCGUCCGCGCCGGAGCUAACGCGUUAAACGUGCCGCCUGGGAAGUACGGUCGCAAGAUUAAAACUCAAAGAAAUUGACGGGGACCCGCACAAGCGGUGGAGUAUGUGGCUUAAUUCGAUGCAACGCGAAGAACCUUACCUGGUCUUGACAUGCAUUGUGUCUCCGGUGAAAGCCGGAUAGGGUAGCAAUACCCGCUUUGCACAGGUGCUGCAUGGCUGUCGUCAGCUCGUGUCGUGAGAUGUUGGGUUAAGUCCCGC
rnacentral:rRNA from 1 species